UACAGAGGUCCCAAGCGUUGUUCGGAUUCACUGGGCGUAAAGAGCGCGUAGGCGGUCCGGUAAGUCCGCUCUGAAAGUCCGGGGCUCAACCCCGGGAGGCGGGCGGAUACUGUCGGGCUAGAGUCCGGAAGAGGCGAGUGGAAUUCCUGGUGUAGCGGUGAAAUGCGCAGAUAUCAGGAGGAACACCUGCGGUGUAGACGGCUUUCUGGACCAUUGCUGACGCUGAGACACGAAAGCGUGGGUAGCAAACAGG
rnacentral:rRNA from 1 species